rnacentral:tRNA from 1 species
CCUCCUUAAAGAGAUACAAUAACCGUCUCAGUAAGUGUCUACCUCUAUUACCUAAUCUAACUAUAUAGAACGAUAUUUGAGCGCAUCGUUCGUCGAUGUUUCAAAACAUUCAGUGUUUUGACUCGGCGUUUUCCGUGUGUUCAAUUCCUAAUAUCUAUUUAGGUAAAUGGGGCUAUAGCUCAGCUGGGAGAGCGCCUGGUCUGCAUCCAGGAGGUCUGCGGUUCGAUCCCGCAUAGCUCCACCAACUUAAGCGUUACCAAAAAUAGAUUGAACUGUAGAAAGUUUGCUUGAGAGUUUUUAAGUUCUUAUGAAGAACACUCAAGCAAACUUUUUUAAUAAAAGUUUACUUAGUUGACUGAUUGGUUAGCUAAAUCGUUCUUUAAUAAUUUAGUGAAUGAAUAACAUAUGUUUGUUUGUUGUGUGGGGUAAAGGCGAUUGUGAUGACCGCCACUGCUCGUCCUAGCGCAACAGAAAAAAUGUAUGCUGUAUCUUAAAACA